GCAGUCGAACGGUGAAGCCCAGCUUGCUGGGUGGAUCAGUGGCGAACGGGUGAGUAACACGUGAGCAACCUGCCCCUGACUCUGGGAUAAGCGCUGGAAACGGCGUCUAAUACUGGAUACGAGUAGCGACCGCAUGGUCAGUUACUGGAAAGAUUUAUUGGUUGGGGAUGGGCUCGCGGCCUAUCAGCUUGUUGGUGAGGUAAUGGCUCACCAAGGCGUCGACGGGUAGCCGGCCUGAGAGGGUGACCGGCCACACUGGGACUGAGACACGGCCCAGACUCCUACGGGAGGCAGCAGUGGGGAAUAUUGCACAAUGGGCGCAAGCCUGAUGCAGCAACGCCGCGUGAGGGAUGACGGCCUUCGGGUUGUAAACCUCUUUUAGCAGGGAAGAAGCGAAAGUGACGGUACCUGCAGAAAAAGCGCCGGCUAACUACGUGCCAGCAGCCGCGGUAAUACGUAGGGCGCAAGCGUUAUCCGGAAUUAUUGGGCGUAAAGAGCUCGUAGGCGGUUUGUCGCGUCUGCUGUGAAAUCCGGAGGCUCAACCUCCGGCCUGCAGUGGGUACGGGCAGACUAGAGUGCGGUAGGGGAGAUUGGAAUUCCUGGUGUAGCGGUGGAAUGCGCAGAUAUCAGGAGGAACACCGAUGGCGAAGGCAGAUCUCUGGGCCGUAACUGACGCUGAGGAGCG
rnacentral:rRNA from 1 species